rnacentral:rRNA from 1 species
UGGCGGCGUGCUUAACACAUGCAAGUCGAGCGAUGAAGCUUCUUCGGAAGUGGAUUAGCGGCGGACGGGUGAGUAACACGUGGGUAACCUGCCUCAUAGAGGGGAAUAGCCUUUCGAAAGGAAGAUUAAUACCGCAUAAGAUUGUAGUACCGCAUGGUACAGCAAUUAAAGGAGUAAUCCGCUAUGAGAUGGACCCGCGUCGCAUUAGCUAGUUGGUGAGGUAACGGCUCACCAAGGCGACGAUGCGUAGCCGACCUGAGAGGGUGAUCGGCCACAUUGGGACUGAGACACGGCCCAGACUCCUACGGGAGGCAGCAGUGGGGAAUAUUGCACAAUGGGGGAAACCCUGAUGCAGCAACGCCGCGUGAGUGAUGACGGCCUUCGGGUUGUAAAACUCUGUCUUUGGGGACGAUAAUGACGGUACCCAAGGAGGAAGCCACGGCUAACUACGUGCCAGCAGCCGCGGUAAUACGUAAGUGGCAAGCGUUGUCCGGAUUUACUGGGCGUAAAGGGA